UGUUCGUAAGUCCAAUACUUCCAGUCAUAUCAACUGGUGCGUUUUCUUGAGUCGUGACAUCAAACGAAUGAAGAAAACUAGCCAAAGUUAAAAGUGUCAUCUGAAGGCCAAAACUUAUCCCAGGGCAUGCUCUUCUACCACUGCCAAACGGCAUCAGCUCAAACUGCUGACCCCGAACAUCAACAUCCUUAUGGGUAGUGAGAAAUCUCUCUGGCUUGAACUCCAUCGGGUCGGCCCAAACCCGUGGAUCAGUUUGGAUCUUCCACAGGUUCACUAGCAGCCACGUACCUUUUGGAACAUGGUACCCUCCUACGGUACAGUCUUCUGUGAACUCCCUCUGGCCUGAGAGUGGUCCAGCUGGGCAUAAACGCAUUGCUUCUUUAACAGUGGCCUGCAGGUACACCAGAUUAUUUAUAUCUGACUCAUCCAGCAGUCUUCCUUUGCCAACAUACUGAUCAAGUUCUUCAUAAACUUUCUUCAAAACUUGGCGGUUGUUCAAAAGCAAAGAGAGUGUCCACGUCAGGGUCACCAUGGUUGUGUCACUCGCUCCAGCAAUCAAAAUCUGCACAAUCAAAAUUUUGGUGAUUAUUAAAACAAAUUUAGCCAAUGACCAUUUGGUUUAGCAGCAUCCAGUAUCGACUUUGUUCGACCAGGUGCUGAGUUGAAAUAUGACGGACAAAGGUCGUUGUAGAAAAAAUUAAAAUAAAUUAACAUAUAUACCAAACAUGUUGCUUUGAUGACGGUAUCAGCAUCGAAGCCAGCAACAUCCGUUCCAUCGAUGGCUGAAAGCAUGACAUCCANNNNNNNNNNNNNNNNNNNNNNNNNNNNNNNNNNNNNNNNNNNNNNNNNNNNNNNNNNNNNNNNNNNNNNNNNNNNNNNNNNNNNNNNNNNNNNNNNNNNNNNNNNNNNNNNNNNNNNNNNNNNNNNNNNNNNNNNNNNNNNNNNNNNNNNNNNNNNNNNNNNNNNNNNNNNNNNNNNNNNNNNNNNNNNNNNNNNNNNNNNNNNNNNNNNNNNNNNNNNNNNNNNNNNNNNNNNNNNNNNNNNNNNNNNNNNNNNNNNNNNNNNNNNNNNNNNNNNNNNNNNNNNNNNNNNNNNNNNNNNNNNNNNNNNNNNNNNNNNNNNNNNNNNNNNNNNNNNNNNNNNNNNNNNNNNNNNNNNNNNNNNNNNNNNNNNNNNNNNNNNNNNNNNNNNNUACAAAUAUAUGAGAGUCGUAUUACAAAAUUUAUACGUCCUAUUUUCAGAAACAAACAACGACGAUAAAUAUUAGACGUUGUUAAAUAAAACAACGUCGGAAAAAAAUAAAAACAGACGUGUUUAGUCUGCUAAAGUUCUAGAAAAUAGUCGAGGAUGAGAAUAGACGACCAACUCAAAAAAAUCACCGUCGUUAAAAAGGAAAAAUAUGACACAUAUUAAAAGAACAAGGCCGCAAGAUAUACAUACAACGACAACAACUAAAAUACUACGCCGUUAAAUAUAAUUUACCCGACAAGAAAAAAUAUGACGUCUUUAAAUACAUGAGAAGACGACGUUAUUGAAAUCUACUACGUCUCUUAUUUACAAAAAACCGUCGUGAAAUAAAUUUUCCACUUCGAUUUUUCUAAAAAAGAUGACGUGGAAAUAGUUGUCAGUGUCAUUAUUUACGACGUAUACAUUUAUAUAGUCGACGUUGUAUUUAUAUGUAUUCAUUACUCACGACGCACUUAAUAAUAUAGACGACGUUGAACUUCUAAACAACGUCGGUUCCAAAUAAAUGAGAGCCGUAUUACAGAACAUAUAGACGGCGUAGAUUAUGAUGAGAGCCGUAUUACAAAUAACGUCGUUUAAUUGUUAUUAGACGGCGGUUAUAAUGAACUUCCGUCGGAAUUCAUUUCGUUCCUCUUCGUUUAUAAAAGAACUUGCGACGUGGAAAAUGUAUGAUGACGUCGUAUUUUUUAACGUUCAGAUUAUAUAUCUCGUUUUUUAGACGUCGGUAUUAUGGGAUUGGAGUCGUGUUAUUCUGAAUUACAUGGCGGUUCUUAAUCCUUCACCGACGUGAUAUCCUGAAUAAUUGCUUCACAAUAGCGUCGUGGUUCUUCAUUGUUACGUUGCUUUAAGACGUCGGUAAAUAUGCUGAAUAACUGAUUCACAAUAACGUCGUGUUUUAUUUGAACGUAGAAAGUGAAGAAAUCGCAUUACAAUAUAUUACAAAAUUAAUGUCAUACACUGCCAAUUACAUAAGCAUCAUUCAAUCCAUAUAUCUUCACACUCAUCUCGAAUAUUUUGACCGCCUAACUCACCUACCAGUUCAUCAAAUGUGUCAACAUUUGGCAUCCCUCUAGUAAAUGGCUCACACUCAAUUAUCACAUCACCUAAGACUUCAUCACCAAUAACAUCAUUAUAUUCUCUAUUAGGCAUUGAUAACACUACCGACCAACCACGAUGCAUCGGGUCGUCAACAAAAAAUAUUUGUUUGACUUGAGAAGCCAAAACAAAUUGGUCAUUCCUAUGUCCAAUUUUACUCAAAUCUACAAGGGUAAAUCCAAGUUCGUCGACUACAAGACCAGAACUAUCUAUCCAAUCACACCUAAAGACUGGGAUUGUAAACUUUUGGUAGUCAAGGUCCCAAAUUUCUUGACUGACACCAUAGAAACCCAUAUUUGAGAGAAUUGGGUUUUUAUCCUUGGCACUAGCAACUUGCAUGGUAUGUGCAAGUAAAUAAACUCCACUAUUUUGAGUUGUCCGCACAUCAUCUUGUGCCUUGAUAUUGAAUUUAAUACCUUUAAUAAGAUAGCUCCUAUAUAAUGGCACUGACAUGUUUGGACCAGCUGCUAGCCACCUUAAAUUUUCUGAUACGCCAUGAUUGUCUUCCUCAAGUUCACUUUGAACCUGCAAAUUAAUCAUAUCUUAAUUCAAUCUAACAUAUAAAUAAGAAGAAAAUUAAUAGAGAAAUAUGUUAUUCAACAACAUAUACCUUGAAGCGUAGCCAUUGAAUGAAAGUGCUAUUGUGCUUAUCCUGCAGCCACUUUGUUCUCUUUCUAAAUUUUGGAUAAGCAGUCUUGAUGUGAAUCAUAUGUUGCUUACAUGACACGAAAAAUUCAAGCAUUACGGUCCUAAAUAUAGAAGAUAAACAUAAGAAAUAAUUUAAAAUGGAAACUUAAAGAAUAAAGCUCAUACGUACUCGAUAUAAGGUAGGACUUCCUCCGUAUUCUCCAAGACAUAUAGAUGUGCUUGAUUCAACAGGUCCUGAUCAACUACGCUCACUGUGCAACCUGAUAAUGGCUUUGAAAGUCCCUUCUUUUGGCUUGAAGGCACUCCAACUGUACUAACAUCAGAUAAAUGCUGAGUACAACACUCUACCCCCAAUCACAUUGGCAAACUCAUACGAAUCGGAACCAAAAUCAUUAUCAUCCAUAUCAAUUUCUUCAGACACAAAACUGUACCUACUAUGGCCAUCAUCUUCUUCAAUAUUUCUACUAGCAUUAGUAGUUGCUUCCCAAGGUUCUCCGUGAAAUGUCCAAUUCUUAUAGCUUUGGUCAAUUCCAUUAAAGUAUAAGUGAUCCCUUAUAAUUCCAACCCCAAACAACUUCAAAUUAACACAUUUAACACAUGGACAACGGAUAUGUGUUGUAGUUAGAAGAUUUUCUACAGCAAAGUUCAAAAAUGCUUCCACCCCAAACUCAUAUGCCUUCGAUCUUCUAUCCGCGUGCAUCCAUGACUUAUCCAUCUCCGACACUAUAACCUAUUAUCUAUAAUAAAGUGAAAAUACAGGCAAUGACCAUCACUAUAGCAGAUUAUACAAAGAUCUAAUAGCAAGUAAUACACAACAGAGACGACGGGUUUUAAACAAAAACAGACGUAUUUGGCAUAUAUAGACGACGGAUUUUCAACAGACGUCGUCUAAUAUAAGUAAUACAAACGACGGUUUAUGAAAACACCGUCGUGUAUAAGUAAUACAACGACGGUUUUUUCAUAAACCGUCGUGUAAUCGUCGUCGUAUGCCUAAAAAGGCGUCGUGUCUCAGUUUAUUUUCAAGAACCCAAAACCCAUUAAGAACACAACAUAUAUAUGAAACCAAGCAAGAAAACAACAUAUACAUGAAACCAAGCAUGAAAACAAUAAAUCCAUUCCCAAUUCAACAUAACAUAGGGUGAUUAAAAGAUCCGACAAAAUUAAAUCCAUUCCCAAUUCAACAUAACAGAUAAUGUAAUCCAUGAACCCAUUAAACAGAAAAUCCAUGAACCCAUACUUAUAAGCACAUUAUUAACAGAUCGCAAAGCAUAUACCUAAAACCCUUUAACAAAACAACCUAAUAUCAUUCAAUGAAUUUACAAGGGGAAGAUAGGGUUUGUACUUACAGGUUGGACGAGCUCACAGAUUCGACGGAGCAGAAGUGACAGAGCAACUUUUAAUUAGAGCAACUUUUAAUUAGAGCAGAAGUGAGAGAGCGAAAUGUUAUGUUGCACGAAAUCUGAAAAUUUUAGGGUUCGGGGUUAGAAGAAUAAGAAUAAGAGCCAAAUAUAAAAAAAUUUAGGACGCGCGAAAAUUUUUAGAGCGCGCGCUCUUUAAAACGUCGAAAGAAAAACCAUGGCGAAAGUUCUACAAGAACCGACGUAAAUGUAAUAUUCCACGACGGAAACACUGAACGUAACGCCGUUUAUUUUGACGCUUCAUUUUUCGGAUUAAUUUUAAAUUUAUUUUCAAUAUUUUGAUAUAAAGACGACUGAAAAACCACGUCGGGGUUAAGAAAUUGAAAACGUUGUAAAUAAUAAUACACGACUUACAUAUUAAAAUGACGUCGUUUAACGCAGAAACCAUGUCGGAUAAUUUACUGCACGACGUAACAUAUGUAUUCCACGACUCAACCACCGUCGUUAACAAUUAAUACCCUAAACCCUUAAAACUAAAUUAUAUAAUUUAAAAAAUUAAGUUUAUAAAAGGGUUUAUGGUUUUACAGCCUAAUAUAUACCCUAGACUACCCAAAAAUUAUACUUUAAAAAUAAACCCCAAUAAAUAACAACCCUAAUCUCUAAACCCUAGACUCUAAACCCUAAACCAUAAAACUAGAAGUGAUUUUAUGACUCAUCAAAAUAAUUUUGUUUUGGAUGUUCAUUUUAAAUUUUUGUUAUUGAAAAUGAAUUUUUUCAAGCUUUAGGGGGAAGAAAAUAUAUCAAUGACUUCAUAGGAGUUGACUUUGCAUUUUUCUGAUUUAUUUUAAAUUUAUUUUGAAUAUUUUGAUAUAAAAAUAAUAAAAUAUUCUUAUCACAACAACAAACCACGUCGGUGUUAAUAAAUUGUAGACGUUGUAAAUUGUAAGAGACGACUAAGUUGUUAAAAUGACGUCGUUUAAAUGAGAAACGAUGGCGGAUAUUUAACUAUCCGACGUAAAAUAUAUAUUCCUCGACUUAACCGCUGUCGUUACAAAGUACUACCCUGAACCCUUAAGAAAUUGAAGAUGUUGUAAACCAUAAACGACUCCAUUGUUCAAAGAACGUCAUCUAAAUAUCCUUUUACGUCGGAUUUGUUUAAAACGAAACCACAAAAAACGACGGCUUUUGACUUUAUUACGUCGUUGGAAAAUUAUUACACGUCGGUAACGCAUUUUGUAUGUUUGUUUUUGUUUUUACUUUAAGAAAACCUCAACAAAUUUUUACAUUAUAUAUUAUAGACAAAAUUUGUACAUUAUACAUAAAUAUCAAGUGUUCAAUAAUUCCCCUAUUCCAGUUGAAGGCAAACAAACUCUGCCCAUUCAUUCCGGACUUCAUCAAUUGCUUCUUGGGGGUAUGGCUCUUCCUGUUUUCCCUUCGCAUACUGCAUAAAAACAAUGACUAUUAGGGUUUAUAAAUAAAAGGAAAUUCAAUCACAGACGACCAUAACCGACGUAGUAUAUCUAUUCAACGACGGUAAUUUUACAUGACCGUCGUUGAUAAUACAAAAAACGACGUAAAAUGUUUGAAGGUUAUUUCUUCUUACCUUCUUCUCAAACCCCAAGGAAGGAUCCAUGAUGAUGUCCUUCAUGAAGCGCAUCACGUAAUACCCGCAUUCGACAUUGCUGGGUUGCUUUGGUGUGCCUGACAGAGUUUUCCAAAUGACUGCCUUACGGCUUGAUCUGGCUAUGUGGGAAUUAUAAAUUUUUAUGGCACUGUUCACGAUGUUUUUGGCCUCUUCAUCGACCACACGAUUUCCUGGCAGAGGAUCCAGAAAAUAGACUGUUUCCCUCUUUGCUCUUACAAUCAGCAAGAUCCAAUGACGGCUGCACAAAAUUAAUAUAAAAACGACGGUUAUUUACAAAAACGACGUAUUAUAAUAUUUCACACGACGAAAUAAAGUAGCAAUCGACGACAUUAUAUAUUUAUCACGACGAUAAAUAACUACCGACGUGGUUAGUAGUUUCAAACGACUCAAUAAAAUAAAACACCGACGUGGUUAGUUUAUACGCUGUCAUUUAUUGAAAAUCAUAAAAACAAAAUCCUGUUAAGGAGACUAACCCUGGAUUGUAAGGCAUCAGGAAAAUCUGUUCACCGUCAGUCUUCUGAAGUCGUGAUGCUACCAUUCGUGAUCUGUCAGCUAUUGUGCCAGAGCUGGCACUAACUGUAGCAGGGUCGAUAAAGCCAACCAUUGUGCACAUAUUUGCUUGUUUUAAAACAUCGUGUAAGUACCUAAAUAUAUAAAAUAAUAUAAACAAGUCAGCGCAAAAAAAACACACGACGGUUAUGUAUAACAAAACGACGUAUUAUAAGGUUUCACACGACGUACUGAAAUAGACAACGACGUUAUAAUAUAUUUAUCACGACGGUACAUACUAACGACGUGGUUAGUUAGUUAAGACGACGCAAUAAAUAAACCAACGACGUAUUAUUUUAGAAUGACAAACCUCAUAUAUACAAAAAAACACACGACGGUUAUGUAUAACAAAACGACGUAUUAUAAAAUUUCACACGACGUACUGAAAUAGACAACGACGUUAUAAUAUAUUUAUCACGACGGUACAUACUAACGACGUGGUUAGUUAGUUAAGACGACGCAAUAAAUAAACCAACGACGUAAUUUAUCACGACGGUACAUACUAACGACGUGGUUAGUUAGUUAAGACGACGCAAUAAAUAAACCAACGACGUAUUAUUUUAGAAUGACAAACCUCAUAUAUACAGCAAUGACUGUAGCUCCUAUUUCCUCCAUGCCUGCAAAUUGUGUAAUAUCUUCAGGCAGGAGGAAGGUAUCGCGCUCUAGACCAAAGACCUCCUUAUCAAUUGUAAAGUGCAGGGUCUUAUCCUGAGGCACGAGUGUCGUUUUCACAUAACGACAAAGGGUUUGUAAAGAAGAUGGCGCCUCCAUAUUUGAAUAAUCAACAAUUUUGGUAACCUGUUUAAAGAAAUAAAAAAAAAUGACGUGGUAAUUCAAUAAAAACGACGGUUUAAGGAAUAAAACGUCGUCUGAAAAUAAUUUAAACGACGGUGAAAAAACCGUCGUGGUGAAUUAUUUAUUACGUCUUAGAAAACAAUUCCGCCGUCUAAGUUGUAAACAAACGACGGUUUAAAGAAAAAUAUCGACGUCUGGAAUUUUGAAAAACAAAUAAAAAAGGCAAAGUUAUGUGAACAUACCUGGUCGUCAUCUUCUUUCUGCUUUUCAUCUUGUUUUUCUUCUUUAUUCUCUUCAUCUAUGACGUCGGGAAUGAUUAACUCCGUCGUCUAAAAACCACAAAGUUUUAAAAAUAACGACGUUUAAUGGCGUGUAAAACAAGUAAACUAAAUACGACGUGGUAUUGAAAUACAAACGACGGUUUAUUUUUAAAAUCGUCGUGGUAUGUAUUUCAAACGACAGUUUUAUUAAUAAUAACGACGUCUAAUGGUUUUUAAAAAAACAGAGAAUUCAAAGUUCAGAUAUGUUACCUUUUCUUCCUGAUGUUUCCCAUUUUUGGCAGUAUCAUCCUCAAAAUGCUGGGAUCUCACAUCACCUCCAGAGCAGCUUGCUUUGUCAGACAUUGGAUUUUUGGGACUUUGGCUAAUUCUGGGUUUAAGCAUGCUUGGAUCAAAAUUGGGAAUUAAUUGGGAAAGCUGACUCAGGAAAUGCUCCCUCUCAGCCUCUACCAAUUGUUUCGUUCUAGCCUCCAUCCUUAAAGCCUCUUCCCUUGCCUUAGCCUCCAUCUUUCUAGUCUCUUCUUGAAGGAGAACUCUUAAACUGUCCUUCAAACGGUCGUCAAAGCUCACUCUCUGUGGUUUGGGUAAAUUGAAAUAUUGCUUUGGUGAGAUCCCAGCACCUACUCCUCUGACUCUGCCUGGAUGCUCGGGGCCCAAAGCCAUGGUCAGCACAUCAUUGCUGCCAGAGACGGUGACUUUGCCUUCCGAGACUUGUUUUUGCAAAUCAUCCUGAAACAAAGAUAUAUAAAAAAGUAAGAACAAAAACACACGACGGUUAUUUAUAUACAAACGACGUAUUAUAUAAUUUCACACGACGCAAUAACAUAUAAAUCGACGUUAUUAUAAUUUAUCACGACGGUAGUUAUACUGACGUGGUUAGUUUUUUAAAACGACGAAAUUAAUAAACCACCGACGUCUUAUGUAACAGAGGGAUGAUUCAAUAUUCACACCUUUAACGACGUUGUUUAAAACAUUUCGACGUAGUAAUUUAAUACAGACGACGCGAAAUUGAACCACCGACAUCUUAUGCUAUAAUUACAGAAAACAGAGUUGUGAUUCCUAUUUAGACCUUUAACGACGUGUUUUAAAAAAUGUCGACGUGGUAAUAUCAUUCACACGACGCAAAAUAUAACAUAAGACGUAAUAAGAAUUAUUCACAGUUUAAUAAAAAUUUAAAACAGAGUGAGUAGGCUUACAAUUAAUUUUGCUUUCUCUGCCACCUUUGGAUCAGGGAUGUUACCAUGUUUGUCCUGUCUAGCUCUCUUCCAUAAGGUAGAUCGAUCAAUUUCUACCCCAGGCAUGGUUUCCUCUAAUUGAUCCUCCAAACCAGCAUAUCCUUUUCGAGACAAUCGAUGAUUGUACUCGAGUUUCUCCCUAAUCUGUGCAUGUUGAGAAUGCACAGACUCAAAAUCUUUGGAUAGCCUUGAAGCUACAAAGGCAUCCCAUUGUGCUUUCUCUAUGAAUUUAUAUGUUUCAGGGGGUUGGCUUAAUCUCUCCCUGUCAUUGGUGUAUGGAAGGAUAUAAUGCCUCGUUAGUGUAGACUUGAAAUCCUUCCAUUUCUUGGCAGCAGAAGCUAAGACAGAGUUCUUGCCCUCUUGACCUACUACAAAAGCAAUGUCAACUGCUUCCCAAAUCUGCUCCUUUAUAUCCUUGGGGAUUUGAGCCCAUUUCAAGUCCACAAGUGGGACUCUGGAGCGUGCCAACACACCAAUAUAGGACUGCAUCUCACUGUGUGCUUGGCCAAUUCCUUUCCCCCUUUUAUUGUACUCAACAAUUGGCCUCAGUUUUUGAAGUUUUCUCUUCACAACACGAGGCAUUGUGCUCAUACCUCGACCAGCCUUUGAAUCAUCAGAGAUUGUUGUCGCGCUGGUUGGUUCUGUAUCAGCAGAUGAUGAAGCAAACUUCAUCUUCUUCGAAGACUUCAUUAUCUUCGAAGACUUCUCUUGAGGAGGUACUUGCUCCUUACCUCCAUUUUUGUUGGAGCCAGAAUCCUUACUUUGGUCUUGGUGAGAAACCAUUUUUACAGACAAAACUGCAAGUGAAAAUAUUUCAAGAAAAGAUUAAGAACACAAACGACGGUUAUUAAUAAAAGACGACGUAUGAUAUGAUUUUAAACGACGCAAUGAAAUAAUAUCAGACGUAAUAAAUGUUUAAAACCAAGGUAAUUAAACAACGACGAAAUAAUUAACUACAAACGACGUAAUAAUUAACUAUAAACGACAGAAUAUUUAUAUAACGUCGUGGUAUUGAUGUUCACACGACGUCAGUAGUAAUAUACCGUCGUCUAUAUAAGGAUCCAAAACCCUUCUUUCUUUCUCUGUGAAUGUUUGAUUGCAGAUUUGAUUUUUCUGAACCAUGGUUUUUGUUUUCUAAUUUGAUAAAAUACAAGGCCAAGAAAGAAAGUUUUGGAAUCUUAUAUAGACGACGGUAUUUUAAUAUGACGUCGUGGUAUUAACAUUCACACGACGUAAAACAAUAAGAUACUGUCGUCUAUAUUAGAUACCAACCCUAAUUUCUUUUUCUUUAUAUUUUAUCAAAUUAGGGAAAAACAAAAACCAUUGUUCAGAGAAAUCAAACCUGCAAUUAAACAAGCAAAUAAAAAAAGACUAUAAUUUUAAAAACAACUUUGUCAAUUUUCAGACGACGCUAGAACGACUGACGAACCGUCGUGGUCUACAUAUUUAACCACGUAAAUAAGAAGCUACCGUCGUCUUAUUUAGUUGAGGUAGUUGUCUUCAAAGUUGGAAACUUUCCCUCUUUGUCUGUAUAUUUUUUCGAACUUGGAAAGAAGUAAAAUGAUUUUGGCCAGAAAAAAGGUAAAAAGAUUUUUCAAACAAAAAACGUAUGAGCAUGCAAAACAGCAACCAAAAUAGUGAAAAUGAAAGCUUACCUUUUGCGUGCAAUGAAAGCAAGAGGAAGACGAUCGAUGUUUAAGUUCAGAGACGACGAAGAAGACGAGAGGAAGACGAUGAGAUACUCUGAAAGUGCUCUGACAAGGAAAAAAGUCUAAAAGUUUUCUCUGGGAGAUUGAAAUUUUUAAUCGGGUUUGGAAACAGUGCAUGUGUAAGACAGGUACACGAAAAGUUGCUUACAUAUAAAACCAUUUCAAAAAAUAAUACGGCGGUUACAUAUAACUACGACGUAUAAAUUACAAAAUACGACAGUACGUUUAACUUCGGACGUGGUAAAUAAGUACGACAGUAGUGUUGUAGGUACCGUCGUAGUAAACUCAAAAAUUAAAGUACAUAAAUAAUAACUCGCGUCAUGGUAGAUCAUUUAACACGUCGAUUUUAUUAAUGUACCGACGUGGAUUUAUGUAAUAUACGUCGGUCAUAACGACGUUGAUUUUAAAAUUUAAACGGCGGUUUUUUUGUAAGGACCGCCGUUGGUUUUAAAAAUUUAUUCUAUAAAUUUGUCGCUUUCAUUCAUUUUCGGUUUACAUUUAGGGUUCCAAGUUCUUCCUCUCUCAGAGACACUGUCUCUCACAUCUCAAAGACAGUAAUUUGGAUGUCUUUCUCAAAGAGAAAUUGAGCUUACUCGCAUCAAAUCUAUGUCCACAAGAAGAAGCUUGUCAACUAGCCUUCUCACUUCCUUGAUCAAGCCUGAUAGGACACUUAGUGCUUCUGAAUACUCCUUGCUUUCCAUCAAAAGAGAUGCAAGCCUGGCCUCCACUCGCUGUCGAAGGAAAGUUCGCUUCUCAGGGAAAUCUGAAGAUCAGAUGUGCCUGAUCCUCUGCUUGAUUUUCUUGGCUAAGAAGAUCCGUCAGAUUUGUGAUAGCCUCUUCCUUUAUCCGUAGAGCUUCAGAAGAAGAAGAUGGGUUUCAAGAAUGCGAUAAAGAAUAGAAAUGGCUUCAUGAAUGCGAUAAAGCAUGAGCAAUCGAAUCAGUGCUUUGAACUAUACUCUGAACUAUACAAGUCAAUGCUUUGAACUAUACAAGUCCUGCAGAAAGAUAAAGGACCAUACUGUUAAAGAAACUGAAACUAUUAAAGAAACCAUAAACUAACACGACGCAAUAUUUGUUUUGCGACGUGGAAUCUUUUCAUUUAACGUCGUUAGGUUUAAUAUAACCGACGUGGAUUUGAAUUGUGAAAUUAUGAAUAGAAAUUUUUUUCCCGUGACCUUUCAGUUUAUUUUUCAAUUACAGUGCGUUAUAAAUAGAGUUUUUUUUCUGGAGGAAAUUUAAAAUGAAGGAAAUUAAUGUUCUGGAUUAUGUAAAGUUUCUUUUUUGGAUGACAGAUUUCAAUUCUUGUCAUUAAGUAGAUCUACCGACGUAGGAUAAGAAAAUAAAGGAAAAAAUUGUUAACAAAAAUUCUUAUUAAGACGACGGUUUAAAUUAAAGGUACGACGUAUAAAAUUAAUAAAUACGACGUUAAAUUUUAUAGUACGAUUUAAAGAUAACGUCGUAGAACUAUACGAUAAUAACGUCGAUAUAUUUAUAUUUUCCGUCGUUGUAAAUUAAUUUAAUACGGCGACAUUUUGUAUUUUAAAGCCGUCGAUUUGUUUGUAAUUAUACGGUGUCUUAUACGAAAAUUUCGUCGUGUUAUUUUAUGAGUAAAAACGGCGGCUUUUAUUGAAAUCGUCGUCUUUACUUUCUACGUCGGUCGAUUCAUAACUUCUGCCGUUCUUUGUUGGCUUUGAUUUUACACUGCGGAAAUCUGUUUCAAAUAGACGUCGGUUUUUUAAUUAGGUACGUCGUUAUUUUUGAACAGCCAUUUGAAUCUCCAUUUUUAGUUGUCUAAGGUGGUAUUACACGACGGUGUUUUUAGAACCGUCGUCUUUUUAAAAACCACGACGGUUUUCACUUAGACCGUCGUCGUUUUCUAGUCGUCUUUUUCACUUUUUGUAGUAGUGUAACUUCUAGUAGUCUAUUCCUUCCCAAGAAUAGCAUUUGUCAAAAGUAGAGGAAUUUAUAAACUGGAACUGUUUAGUUUAAUACAUUCACAACAUAUAUUGCAUAUGUGCAUUUUAUUCUCACAUAUAGCUAAAUUCUCACUCUCAACUAUUUAAUCAUACAAAUUAGGAGACAAGCGUGGUUUGACGAGGACAUCAAGAGGAGUCAGUUUUAUGUUCGUAAGUCCAAUACUUCCAGUCAUAUCAACUGGUGCGUUUUCUUGAGUCGUGACAUCAAACGAAUGAAGAAAACUAGCCAAAGUUAAAAGUGUCAUCUGAAGGCCAAAACUUAUCCCAGGGCAUGCUCUUCUACCACUACCAAACGGCAUUAGCUCAAAUUGCUGACCCCGAACAUCAACAUCCUUAUGGGUAGUGAGAAAUCUAUCUGGCUUGAACUCCAUCGGGUCGGCCCAAACCCGUGGAUCAGUUUGGAUCUUCCACAGGUUCACUAGCAGCCACGUACCUUUUGGAACAUGGUACCCUCCUACGGUACAGUCUUCUGUGAACUCCCUCUGGCCUGAGAGUGGUCCAGCUGGGCAUAAACGCAUUACUUCUUUAACAGUGGCCUGCAGGUACACCAGAUUAUUUAUAUCUGACUCAUCCAGCAGUCUUCCUUUGCCAACAUACUGAUCAAGUUCUUCAUAAACUUUCUUCAAAACUUGGCGGUUGUUCAAAAGCAAAGAGAGUGUCCACGUCAGGGUCACCAUGGUUGUGUCACUCCCUCCAGCAAUCAAACUCUGCACAAUCAAAAUUUUGGUGAUUAUUAAAACAAAUUUAGCCAAUGACCAUUUGGUUUAGCAGCAUCCAGUAUCGACUUUGUUGGACCAGGUGCUGAGUUGAAAUAUGACGGACAUAGGUCGUUGUAGAAAAAAUAAAAAUAAAUUAACAUAUAUACCAAACAUGUUGCUUUGAUGACGGUAUCAGCAUCGAAGCCAGCAACAUCUCUUCCAUCGAUGGCUGAAAGCAUGACAUCCAUGAAAUCUUGAUCUUUUCCUUUAGUUCUUUUCUGCUUGUGCUCCUCCAACCAUUCCGCAACAAUACUGUCCAAUUCUUUGGCAGUUUUCUUCAUGGCCUUCUGCUGUCCACCCAAAUCCAACCAACUAAGCCAAGGAACAGCAUCUCCCAACACAAACAAUCCCACCAAAUGAAAGAACUCUCUCAUGGCUUUUUGCCACCGCCUUGCCUCCUUCUCCUCACUCAAAUUCCCAUUCAUAAAGCAUCUCUUUCCAGCAACCAUCCUAAAAAUCACAUUUAGAGUCAAAUCCCCAAACCACUGCUUCAUCUCCACUAAACGCUCCCCCGAGCUUUCUUUUCUUUUGAUCCAUAAAGUGUACAGCUCUUUCAAACUCAUCUCCACUUCUGAUACUCGAACUUUUUUCAGAAGCUCGAGCCUGCGGUUUGAGAGUAACUCGAGGGAUGUGAGCUUGCGCAUUUCGCGCCAGUAUGGACCGUAGGGGCCAAACCCGAACAUGGCAAAGUUGUAGCCCAAGUGCUUUGCUCCUAGCGUAGCCGGACGGGAGGAAACAACUAUGUCGUUUGUGGUGAAGCAGUCCUUGGCCGCCUCCCAAGUACUUAUCACCAGAGCAGAGUGGAUACCAAUGUUGAUGGUGAAGGCUGGUCCAUACUUGUCAACCAAGGAAGCCAAAGCUAUGUGAGGAAGCUGAGAUCCUCUGAAUAGGCCAAAAUGACCUAACAGAGGCCACCCGCCUGCAACUUUUGGUAGUUUAGGACCCUUGGCUUUGGCAGCUGAGCUUGAUCUCUUUAUGAUAAAGUAGGAAAAUAAAAGUAUGGCUAGGAUUCCAGCUAUGGCAGUGUUUAGGCAUGGGAGAUACAACUCCAUUGUUGCAAAGGGAAGGUUUGAGGGUAGCUGUCAUUCAUGCAGUAGUUCUUAUUUAUAGUCAAUAUCAGUGUUUUUUCUUCGUGGGACUUUCAGGUCAGCGUUCUUAAGUUUGUUUUGGAAGAGGGCCAAUGAGGAUUGUUUUCUAUAAGAUAAUUCGUAUUUAUUUGACUCACUCAAUAUAAUAAUUGAUGCGUAGGAUAGGAAGCAAACUGUACUUGGCAACGUUCUGAUCAGACAAGAAAAUGGGUUAUUUUAAUAGAAUUUGACGUCAUCGCUGCAACAUUCGGAAAAGUACCCCUGAGGUGAUGAAAUAACCUUCGUGAUUGAAGAUUAUCUUUUGCACCGUUUGAGACUUAAACUUAUCUCCUUUGACCCAAAAAAAAAAAAAGUAUUUAAACUUAUCUCCUUUGAACAAACAAAAAAAUUAUUUAAACUUAUCCGAGACUCUGUUUUUUUAAUUUCUCUAGAAGAUAACAUCAACCUAAUAUUAAGCAGUCCUAUAUCCUGCCAAAAUUGCUUUUGCAAUAAGCAGUUUCACUUUGGCCUUUCUUCAGCUCAGCAAUUAAAUUAUCAAUCGGCUUUCCCUAGCGGUAUACCAAGUUUUGUCCUCCUGUUCUCUCUUGAUUAAUUUUCUUCUUGUUCAUCUAUUACUAUUUGGAUAAUGCUUGGGACAUCAUCUUUUUGUACUAUAUUUGUGCACCAAUUUAUGUGACUGUUGAGUUAGCUAUGCCACAUCGUUAAGUGAGUUUUUAAUAUUUUUUUCACCUUUCACUUUACAAUCAUUUAAAUCAUAUUAAAAUUAUUUUAAAAAAAAAAAAAUCUCCAUUCUCUUCUCCUACCUCUUAGCCAGCUAACCCUCUCUCCCUCCUUAAUCAACCUCAUCUUUCAGCCAUCCCUCUCCAGUUGCCCAUCCUUCCCUCAGCCAUAAUCUUGUACAUGAACCUACCCUCAACCAUACACCAGAUUUCCCAAACAUUGAAAAGUGAAUCUCACCUACAGGUAUAGGGUCGAAAUCUUUUGAACAAUCACAAGGACACUGAGGGCAGGAACUUUUCUCCUUCAAGCUCCAGUGCAAAGAUGGACGUAUAUCCAACCAAACACACCGCCAUUAAACAAAAACUAGCCUCACAGCAAAAAAAGACAAAACUCAACUUCGGUUUGUUUGUUUCCAAAUUUACAGAAAGUCCAAGAUCGUAUCAAAAACCCAUUUCAGGUCCGGGGUUACAUAACUCAGAAUAUCAAUUAAACUCAAAACUUGACUGCACUUGAAAAAAAAUUAAUAAUAUCCAAUCAAAAAUGCCCAUUUCAAGAUCUGGGACCUGCAAUGAGAAUCUGACAAACUCAAUGACUGGUGUAUGGCUGAGGGAAGGAUAGGCGACGGGAGAGGGGUGGCUGAAAGGUGGGGUUGAGUAGGGAGGGAGGGUUGGCUGGGUAGGAGGUAGGAGAAGAGAGCAGAGAUUUGUUUUAAAAUUUUAAUGAUUUUAAUAUGAUUUAAAUGAGUCUGUAAAGUUUAAGGUCAAAAAAUAAUAAAAUAUUAAAAAUUCAUUUAAUGAUGUGGUAUCGACAAAUGUAUGUUAACUAAAAAGUGGAAUCCAUUUGUCAAAACUAGAGGAAACGCAUGAAGCUCAUUGGGCAUAAGUAGAAGAUAGAUUUAGUAAAGCCAAACUUUUUAGAUUAGGGUCAUGCUAGGGAGAUCAACUUUAAAUAUCAACUUGUGUACUAACUCUCUAAUAGAGGUGGAGCCCACCAAUACAAUGGGUCCCACGCUCUAUUAGAGAGUUGGUAUACAAGUUGGUAUCUAAAGUUGGUCUCCCUAGCAUUUUCCUAGAUUUAAUACAUUCAGAACAUGAACAUAAGCAUAUGUACUUUUCAUAUCGUAGCAUUUAUUUUCAUAUAUAUAUAUAUAUAUAUAUAUAUCUAAGUUCACAAUUCUGAACUUAUUCAUAAAGAUUUGGAGACAAGCGUGGUUUAACGAGGACAUCAAGAGGAGAGAGUUUCAUGUUUGUAAGUCCAGCGCUUCCGGUCAUAUCAACCGGUGCAUUUCCUCGGGUCGUGACAUCAAACCAAUGAAGAAAACUAGCCAAAGUUAAAAGCGUUGUUUGAAGGCCAAGAUUUAUCCCAGGGCAUGCUCUUCUACCACUACCAAACGGCAUCAGCUCAAAUUGCUGACCCCGAACAUCAACAUCCUUAUGGGUGGUCAGAAAUCUCUCUGGCUUGAACUCCAUCGGGUCGGCCCAAACCCUUGGGUCAGUUUGGAUCUUCCACAGGUUCACUAACAGCCACGUGCCUUUUGGAACAUGGUACCCUCCUACAGUACAGUCCUCUGUGAAUUCCCUUUGGAAUGAGAGUGGUCCAGGUGGGCAUAAACGCAUUGCUUCUUUAACAGUGGCAUGCAG
rnacentral:lncRNA from 1 species